GCCGCCGAGGAGGCCACGUCGGGGCGGUACAUCGUGUGCACCCUCAACACCACCGCCGUGGCGCUCGCCCACUUCCUGGCGGCCAAGUACCCGCAGUACGAGAUCAACGACGACCGCAUUGGUCAUCUUCCUGAGAAGCCGAGGGUGAGCAUCUGGUCAGACAAGCUCAUCAAGGAGGGGUUCGAGUACAAGUACAAGAACCUGGAGGAGAUAUACGACGACCUCGUCGUCUACGGCAGGACCCUGGGGCUCCUGAAAUACUGAUAUAACGGGCUCUCGGAAUGGGAUUAUGCGCUUGCAAAAUAAAUCUAUCCUCCUAGAGGCUAGAGCAUAAAAUGUGUUGAAAUGUUGGUGCUUAUGUUUCAUUUCAUGAUUGCUGACCGAGAGCAUAAUUCGGUCAAAUCGUGUAGCUUUGUUCUGCCCUUCUUCUUUGUGUUUAUCUUGUAUAAGAAAAGAAGAUUACUAUUUCCAUGUCA